UUUUACACAAUGAGAAGGAAUAGUAAAAAGUGAGGUAGUUUAGAGAGUACAUGGCUGGUGAAAAUGUAUCUACUAAUCUUUUGAAGCUCGCCUUUUAGUGUUAAGCGCCUGAAAGUAUAGUAGGGGCUUACGGUGACGACCGUUAAUCCGUCAGAGGUUAGUAUAAUUAGUUUAUUUGAUUUUACUAAUGAAUUUAGGUGGUACCACGUCAAUUUACGUCCUAUAA
rnacentral:ncRNA from 1 species